rnacentral:rRNA from 1 species
UGGGGAAUAUUGCACAAUGGGCGCAAGCCUGAUGCAGCCAUGCCGUGUGUAUGAAGAAGGCCUUCGGGUUGUAAAGUACUUUCAGCGGGGAGGAAGGGAGUAAAGUUAAUACCUUUGCUCAUUGACGUUACCCGCAGAAGCAGCACCGGCUAACUCCGUGCCAGCAGCCGCGGUAAUACGGAGGGUGCAAGCGUUAAUCGGAAUUACUGGGCGUAAAGCGCACGCAGGCGGUUUGUUAAGUCAGAUGUGAAAUCCCCGGGCUCAACCUGGGAACUGCAUCUGAUACUGGCAAGCUUGAGUCUCGUAGAGGGGGGUAGAAUUCCAGGUGUAGCGGUGAAAUGCGUAGAGAUCUGGAGGAAUACCGGUGGCGAAGGCGGCCCCCUGGACGAAGACUGACGCUCAGGUGCGAAAGCGUGGGGAGCAAACAGG